AUAAAGUGUGAGGUUAUAGAAUCAGUAUUCUGUUUUGCUUGGCUAGUAGCUACAAGAUUUGUGGUGGAGUCUUCAAGCAGGAAGAAGACAUGUUGUGACGUGUAAAGCAGCAGGAAGGGUUUCCAAGGAGCUCUGCACCAUGUGUCUCUUGGACUAUAAAAGGUCAAGCAGGGGGGAAACCCGAAAGAGCGAGAUGCAAUCUGUAAAAGUUUCUGGGGAGUGUGCAACAGCUGACCACAAUGAGCCUACCAAAACCUGAAAGACAAGGUCCAGAAUGUUCCCGUUUUAACAACGUCCAGCUUCA